CGCUGAACAUCUCUGCAGCUGGUUGACUUCUGAUGAGCAGGUGAACUCCAGGAUGUGGUGUCGGGGUGCUGUGACGUCACUGAUUCGUCACUCUGAAGGGGGGCGGGGCCACGCGGCCAGCUGCCGGGUCUCUCAGCCAAUCACCGCCCACUCUCCGUGCUUCCUGUUGACUCCGAGGAGGAAACAAACAAGCAAACAAACAAACAGACCAUGCAGGACACGCCCCCUGAGGGUCUCACCUGUCAGCGACAUCAAAGGAAACUAAAAGUCUUUCUACAUAUUUCAAGUUUUCACUGAAAAACUAAUUUUGUUUCCGUAAAUUAAAGAGUCCAGACCUGCUCGACCUGCCCGGAGGAGACUUCUGCUGUGAUUUGGUGCUAUAGAAAUAAUCAAUAGAUUGAUUGAUUGAUUGAUUGAUAAUUAAAGUCGUAAAGUUUGACAUUAUCUGAUGAGCUGCAGUUACAGGUACGGAGGAUCAACGCUGCCAAGAAUAAAAUCAUAAACAUAAAGUUUA